GUGAAGAGACAUGAGAGGUGUAGCAUAAGUGGGAGCCCGCGUCAAACCGGGCGCCGGUGAAAUACCACUACUCUUAUCGUUUCUUUACUUAUUCAGUGAAGCGGAGUCGGGGUCCGCAAGGCCCUCGUUUCUGGUGUCGAAGCGCCCGCACGGCGGUCGUCUCGCUCGCGCGGGGCGGCCGUCGGGCGCGAUCCGCUCUGAAGACAGUGUCAGGCGGGGAGUUUGACUGGGGCGGUACAUCUGUCAAAAGGUACGCAGGUGUCCUAAGGUGAGCUCGGCGAGGACGGAAACCUCGCGUGGAGCAAAAGGGCAAAAGCUCACUUGAUUCUGAUUUUCAGUACGAAUACGGACCGUGAAAGCGUGGCCUAUCGAUCCUUUUGCUCGUUGAGAGUUUCAAGCAAGAGGUGUCAGAAAAGUUACCACAGGGAUAACUGGCUUGUGGCAGCCAAGCGUUCAUAGCGACGUUGCUUUUUGAUCUUCGAUGUCGGCUCUUCCUAUCAUUGUGAAGCAGAAUUCACCAAGUCGG
rnacentral:rRNA from 1 species